rnacentral:rRNA from 1 species
UCUCGGGAAAUGAAUAUUAGUUCCGCCUAAAGUAACUUAAAUUUAAAUAAAUACCCCCUUAACUUUAGAGUAAUUCAAAUAAGGUACAGCCUGUUUGACACCGGAUACAACCCUUGCUUACGGGUAACACAACUUAAAACUAAAACAAGUGGGCCUAAUAGCAGCCACCUUUUAAAAAGCGUUAAAGCUUAACAUGUUUUACUCAAUACCCACACUAUCAUAGACCCCUAUAACUGUACUGAGAAAUUCUAUGCUAUAUAGAAAUUUUUAUGCUAAAACUAGUAACAAGAGUUUAUACUCUCUAAAGUGCAAGUAUAAGCCAGUAUGAACACAUCCCUGGCAAUUAACAAGUCAAAAUAAUAACCCACCAAGAAAACCCUAUUACCUUUACUGUUAACCUAACACCAGAGCACCCCCAGAAAGAUUAAAAGAUAAAGAAGGAACUCGGCAAAUACCAACCCCGCCUGUUUACCAAAAACAUCGCCUCUCGAAUUCAUUAGAGGUCCAGCCUGCCCAGUGACUCUUGUUU